rnacentral:rRNA from 2 species
UAGCAUAUCAAUAAGCGGAGGAAAAGAAACCAACAGGGAUUGCCCUAGUAACGGCGAGUGAAGCGGCAACAGCUCAAAUUUGAAAUCUGGCCCUCGGGUCCGAGUUGUAAUUUGUAGAGGAUGCUUUUGGUGAGGUGCCUUCCGAGUUCCCUGGAACGGGACGCCAUAGAGGGUGAGAGCCCCGUCUGGUUGGACACCGAGCCUCUGUAAAGCUCCUUCGACGAGUCGAGUAGUUUGGGAAUGCUGCUCUAAAUGGGAGGUAUAUGUCUUCUAAAGCUAAAUACCGGCCAGAGACCGAUAGCGCACAAGUAGAGUGAUCGAAAGAUGAAAAGCACUUUGAAAAGAGAGUUAAAAAGUACGUGAAAUUGUUGAAAGGGAAGCGCUUAUGACCAGACUUGGGCUUGGUUGAUCAUCCUGGGUUCUCCCUGGUGCACUCUUCCAGUUCAGGCCAGCAUCAGUUCGCUGCGGGGGAUAAAAGUUUUGGGAAUGUGGCUCCUCCGGGAGUGUUAUAGCCCAUUUCAUAAUACCCUGCUCCGGACUGAGGUUCGCGCAUCUGCAAGGAUGCUGGCGUAAUGGUCAUCAGCGACCCGUCUUGAAACACGGACCAAGGAGUCGUCUUCGUAUGCGAGUGUUCGGGUGUUAAACCCCUACGCGUAAUGAAAGUGAACGCAGGUGAGAGCUUCGGCGCAUCAUCGACCGAUCCUGAUGUUCUCGGAUGGAUUUGAGUAAGAGCAUACGGGGCCGGACCCGAAAGAAGGUGAACUAUGCCUGUAUAGGGUGAAGCCAGAGGAAACUCUGGUGGAGGCUCGCAGCGGUUCUGACGUGCAAAUCGAUCGUCAAAUAUGGGCAUGGGGGCGAAAGACUAAUCGAACCUUCUAGUAGCUGGUUUCCGC